rnacentral:rRNA from 1 species
AUUGAACGCUGGCGGCAGGCCUAACACAUGCAAGUCGAACGAGUGGCGGACGGGUGAGCAAUGUCUGGGAAACUGCCUGAUGGAUGGGGACCACUACUGGAAACGGUUGCCAAUACCGCAUUCCAUCGGAUGUGUCCAGGUGGCAUGAGCUAGUAGGUGGGGUAAAGGCUCACCUAGGCGACGAUCCCUAACUGGUCUGAGAGGAUGACCAGCCACACUGGAACUGAGACACGGUCCAGAAUCCUAAGGGAGGCAGCAGUGGGGAAUAUUGGACAAUGGGCGCAAGCCUGAUGCAGCCAUGCCGCGUGUAUGAAGAAGGCCUUCGGGUUGUAAAGUACUUUAAGCGGGGAGGCGUUACCAGCAGAAGAAGCACCGGCUAACUCCGUGCCAGCAGCCGCGGUAAUUC